UAACGCGAAGAACCUUACCAGGUCUUGACAUCUUCUGCUAACCUAAGAGAUUAGGCGUUCCCUUCGGGGACGGAAUGACAGGUGGUGCAUGGUUGUCGUCAGUUCGUGUCGUGAGAUGUUGGGUUAAGUCUCGCAACGAGCGCAACCCUCGUGUUUAGUUGCCACUAUAAGUUUGGAACCCUGAACAGACCGCCGGUGUUAAGCCGGAGGAAGGAGAGGAUGAGGCCAAGUCAUCAUGCCCCUUAUGCCCUGGGCGACACACGUGCUACAAUGGGCGGUACAACGAGUCGCGAAACCGCGAGGUCAAGCUAAUCUCUUAAAGCCGUUCUCAGUUCGGAUUGUAGGCUGCAACUCGCCUACAUGAAGUUGGAAUCGCUAGUAAUCGUGGAUCAGC
rnacentral:rRNA from 1 species